GGUACCCAGAUGAUCGCAGUCUCCUUUUGCUGCUUCUUUGCCUAGCUUUCCCCGUCUCCGUUGAUGACCUUUCAAAAUGAGGCUUGUGGGGCCUGUGAGGCUGAUCUUUCACUUUAAUCCCUUUGUCACUAAUUUGGGUAUGUGUGUGUCUAUGUGUGGGUAUGCAUAUACCAUUAGAGAGUGCACUUGGAGGCCGGAAGAGGACGCUGGAGCUGGACUCACAGGUGAUUUGUGGAUCCUUGAUGCUGAGAACUGAACUUGGCUCCUCUAUAAGAUCAGCACAUGUUCUUUACCACUGAGUCAUCUCUCUACCCACAAUGGUCUCUUCACAGUGUGGUUUCCACCUAACUCCAUUGGUUUCUGUGUAUUUAUGAUUUCUUUUGAGUUGGCUUGAAAAACUUGCAACUCUAGUCUGCAAUGUAUAGUAGGGAUGCCUAAUUUUUAUGUUAGGCACUGUGAUGGUUCAAAGAUGAACAGAAAUAACGGCUUUAGAGAAUAAGACAUAAUGGAAGGAAAAGUGAAAGCAUCUUAGCUGUAGUGGACGAGGCCCAGGCCAUGCCAUCCUGUAACGCUAUCAUGGCCCUUAGGAAGACAGCAGGACCCUCUACUUUUGUCUUUGACUUUCUCUCUUGAAUCAUGGGAUACAACCUCUAGAAGAAUUUCCUGGUGUUUCCUUAAUUUCAUCAUAAGAUCCCUAUGAGAGAGAUAUCCACCUCCCAGUUAGAAGAAAGGAAUGUCUUAUACCUAAACACAGGAGAACUCAGAUAUCAGUAUGAACACAUGGGUUCAUAUUAAUGUGAACACACUUCUAGCUGACGCUGGGAAGAUGGAUGGUAUUUAUAAUAUGAACAAUA